ACAGCUGAACAAGUCUACUCCUUUCUUUUUUUGUUUCAGCUUACUCCUUAUAACCUUCAUACUUCCGUUCCUUGCUUGCCUACAGGUUUGACUUCUUAUGCUUCCUGUAGGAAAAGCCUUUUUUCAGGUAGACUUCUUAUAAGAGUCAGAAGUCGAAGUCCAGUUACUGCUGCAGUUUUACAACAGUGUUUGGAAUGUUUGCAGCCAUAUAAGCAACGAGUUUCUUCUUGGUGAGUAUAAGCAUGGAUCCUUGGUUUUCAUAACUGUAGCUUUUCUUCAAGCUUUUGAAAUUUUGCUUUAAAAUUCAUGUUUUUCUUAAUUCCUGCAGAGACACUGUGCAUAGUAUUUAUCUAAAUCAUUAAUUAAAUCAUUAAAUCAUUAUAUUCUUAAAACAAAAAACAUGUGUUUUCAGUUGGAGGAAAAAAAUGGCAAUUUCAUUGAAGUAGAAUUUUUUUGAU
rnacentral:lncRNA from 1 species